UGGACAGUGCUCACCCAUGUUGCAUUGUGAAUUCACUCAGACUUGGUUCUGAGCACACACAUGUGCACUUCGCUGUUCCACCAUAUACCACCAACAAUUCUGCCUGGAACACCUUGGCUCAGAUCUGAGGCUCAGGCUCAAGACUACAUUGAAAACUGCAGGGUUUUUACUGUGCAUCCAGAUACUACUUGGCCCAACAGUGACCCUGUAGUAUUUUUCCAAUAUUCUGGGGCUCUGACAUAUGGGGCCUUGCUUACCCUCCCAGCAUAGCCUACAGACAGGAAAAGUUACCCCUAGCAUGAGUCUUCCAGUGAGGAACAACCCCUCCAGCCCCACCCCACUCCUCUUUAUUAUGCUGUCACACUGGGGCUACUCACUACCUCAGUCACCCCAGGGUGAGAACCAGAUGCCUGGGGCAGCCCUGUGGAGUGACCCUCAGCUGUUUUCCCUCUCCUCCCCCUACCCCAGGGCCACAUGAGAUUCCUUGCCCCUCCCCUGUGACCCUGCCAGCCUGGCUGUCUCCUUGAGUGACCUCUGCUUCUCCCCUCCCCCCCCCCCCCAGACCACUCACAGUCUGGAGUCCAGUUCACUGUACAGACUGGGCUGGCUGGGCUGGCUGGGCUGGCCGACAUGCGGGAAGCUCUGAGUGCUGGAUGGGACCUGCCCAGACCGUACCCUACAGGAAGCCGAAGAGAACCCCAUGUGACCACUGCUGGACCCAGACUUCCCGAGGGCAUACUGUGGGCCAGCAGAGCAAGCAUGAAGGGACUCAGCUGGGCCAGAGCCAAGCUACAGACCCUUGACUGGAUAUAGACGUUCCCACCUGAAGGAGGAACAUGUUUCGCUUCUGUUCCAAGUAGUCAUUCAAUGUUUCAGGUAUCCCCUUCCUUUCUGCAACAAGACUCAGAAGGUGAGUAAGGGAGAGAAGCUGGAGCCCAGGUUGGAAUUGGGCACCCAAGACAGUCCACAGAGGAGGCUGGGGUGCUGCUGCCUACCCAGGGUGUUACCGUGGUGAUGGGUCUGAAAAGGGGAGAAAAGGUUCCCUCAACAUGGAGCCAACCCUCCACAUCUGUGGGGGUCUGUUUCCUUGGAGUCAACCAACAGAUCAGAAAUACAUGGAAGAGACUCACAUUUGUACUACAGAAUGAAUUCCUUUGUCCCUACAAACACUUGUCUACAUAGAAUGUAUAUUGAACCCACAAUGUACAGAUCUAUGAAUGACUCAGAGAAUACAGGGGAGCAUAAAUACACUGUGGGUUCUGAUACCAAGGGAGCUCCAGGAACUUGUCCCCUGGGAUGCUGAGAGGUGACUGCUAGGCUCCACCUAGUUGGUGACUGUCUGGCUUGGACCUCUCUUACUAUAGCGUCCCCACAACUCAUGAGGUUGGCACAGUUAGAGGAGUCCAGUGCUGGCCAUGUCCUAUCAAAAGCUGUAGUGUCACCAAGAUGACCAAGACCUGGAAGGCAAAUUUCAGAUGAGGCCUCCUCGCUGGAGUUGGACUUGCCCAUUGCCUGUGACUGGCUGAUUGUUGGGUGGACCUAAGCCUCUGCAUGCUGAGCUUGCCUCCACCCUAGCAUACCAUGCAGUCUCCAUGGGAUCAGCAUGUUCUGGAACUGUGGCCCAUCAAGGCAGAGCUCUUCAAGGUAUGUAGUGUCAGACAGAGGGAGUGCCUUUCUUAAUCACCCCUUAUUCCCGCUCCUGCACAAGGUAGAGGUGCUGUACCUUGGGUCAUGGCCAGCUUCCAGGCAGUGUUGUUGCGGAAGGCGUGCAGCUGCCGGGACUCAGCAAUCAGCUCCUGGUCCUCCAUCUCCUCUUCUAGCUGCAGCUCCCGGCGCAGGCUAAUGUGCUUGGCAGACACCUUGGAUGAGUAGGUCAUCUUCUGGUGCACCCUCAGCAUCUUUUUUUGUUCACGUUCCUGUCGGGGUGACAGGCAGUCAAUGGGAUCCGAGUGCUUGUCAGAUGCAUGUCUCCAGUGCCUCCUGACCAAUGCUAGAGGCUGAAGGGGCCCACACAUAGGGAGAACACACACACACACACACACACACACACACACACACACACACACACACACCCCUGUGCUAAGCACUCUGUUGUUGGUACUCUUAGAGAGGCUGUAGGCUCUUGCAAACAGCCUCUGGGGUUGAACAGGUCAAUGACCACCUGAGGAUGGGACCCGGGAGGGGCAGCUAUACCAAACACAGGUGCCAGUUCAAUGUGCAUUUUCCAGAAGGUAGUACCCCAUGGUACUGCCAGGCUUGGAAACAGAAAUACCCAAUCCUGCAUCCAAGAAGAGGAAGGCUCCAGGUGAAGGCCAGAGAGAGGCCUGCCUGUGGGUUUUCCAUCCCUUCUCUGUGGCUGAGCAAGUAUGUCAACUGGGCACCACCUUUCAGAGCCCCAAGCUGCCAGGUCUCAUUCUGGAGCUGGGCAUGGGUCACAGGCUUGUUCCAGUUUCAACACAGAGGCUGAAGGAUGUCUUCCACCCAGUGCCCUACUGAUGCUGCCAUGGGGCCCUGCCACCCUGAAAACAGCAGGUGCUGAGCCUGAAUCAGGGGACACAGGCUGUUGGGUCAGGCCAGAAGAAAAGAGGGGUGC